AUGGAGUGUGAAUGCAAAGAGAGUAGAGAGAUAUUUCCAGAUAUUUUUGGUGAUUCUUCUGUAGAAGUGAAGAGUGGUGAAGAUUUUGUGGGAAGGUUGAAGAUGGUGAAGGAUCUUGAGGAGUUGCCGAGAGAGAGUCGAAAGGGUACGGUAUGGACUUUGUUUUGUUUGGAAUUUGAUGGUGUAAGGAUAAAAGGAAAGGUAUCAUGGAGUUUGGUUGGCUUGAAAGAUGGAUAA